AAUUGGAAAGACCAUUCUUUCAAAGGAGGGCAGAAGUACAACUCAUUUCCUGAUCUCUGCCAGACAGACAUAGGAAAUACAAUGAGUACAAAUUUUAAACAGGAAUCCUGGCAAACGAGUAUUUGAAAAUAAGGUGUAUAUUAGCAUCCUUUUUUCUUUCACAUUUUCACUUAAGUACUGCUAAGAUUGCAAUGACUCUGGGAAGGCUUAUUCUGCAGUGCUGAGCCCUUGACAAAAGAUCAUGGGACCACUGAAAGGCAUAUGCCUACUGUAUAAAUCUGCAGAAGCCCCACGAAUAUUUCCAAGAUCAUGUGUCCUGGUGUAUGCCCUGAUGAUGCCUGAACUCUACUGAGACAAUACUUGAGUGCUUACUGUGUAACAUCUUCAGUCCUCAUCAAGGGCUCUGAAAACAUGAGCCAGAGAGACGUCAAGCCAAAAUACAAACAGAAGCAAGUCUGGAAGAAAACAGCUUUACAUAAAAUGUGUAUUUAUAAUUUCUCCAGAUGCAGAUCAGAGACAUUACAGAUGGAAAAGUCUUAUUAUUAGGAUCACGUUAUCAGUCUCCUAGCCAAGACUGGAUUGUUCCCCACUGUUACAGUCAGUAAUGUUUUGCCCAGACAAGUGGUACCCUCCCACAAUCUUUGACAGUCAUCUCAGAGUCACUUUCCCAUAUUCCGCUCUCCUUUCUGGCUUUGCUGCCAUCAGACUAGGCACACAUAUUCCAUUAAGUACACCUUCAUUAGAAAAGACGUCUGUUUUAGCCAUAAUAAGGGUGAGCAUCCCUGUUCACGCCAGUAACAAACUUGCUCAUACUUUCCUGAAACAUCUGCACAGUUUGAGACCCAUCAUAGUGCCGAACAACCUAUGACUUUAAUUUGUGGAUGGCCUCAUAGGUUUGACUUGUUUGUUUGUUUGUUUCAGUCAUGCCAUAAAAAUUUAGGAUAUGUUGUUCACAGUAUCAUUGUAUCACAGAAUAGCUGAGAUUGAAAGGGACCUCUAGAGUUCAUCUGGUCCAAUCCCUUCACUCAAGCUGGGCCACCUACAGUCUUGAAAAAUGCUUAAAGACUCAGUUGGAAAUGCCCCUAUGUAAUUUUUCUCCUCCUCCUACAAUAAAAAGUAUUUU
rnacentral:lncRNA from 1 species